rnacentral:rRNA from 1 species
UACAGAGACUGCAAGCGUUAUUCGGAUUCACUGGGCGUAAAGCGUGCGCAGGCGGUUUUGUAAGCCAGAUGUGAAAUCCCCGGGCUUAACCUGGGAAUGGCAUUUGGGACUGCAAGGCUCGAGUGCGGCAGAGGAGACUGGAAUUCCUGGUGUAGCAGUGAAAUGCGUAGAUAUCAGGAGGAACACCGAUGGCGAAGGCAGGUCUCUGGGCUGACACUGACGCUCAUGCACGAAAGCGUGGGGAGCAAACAGG